AGUUUGCUUAGUUCCCUUGGAUCGGGGCUGUUCCAGGCGAUUGUUUACCUAUUUAUGGUGGGGAUGGUCCUCCGAAAUCACAAACUCUUGGUAGCAGACAGAAAGAGGAGUUAACACGAAUACAUGUGUAUAAGAGAACGAGACUAUGGGGUCAGGGUGUGGAGUUUAUGAAGUUUAGAGACCUCGAGAGUCAGCGACGUUUAAGACUGAAUUUGCAACCACGUUUGUGACCAUGGCUAUAUGUUCUCAACAGCGUUUCAUUACUAUCCAGUUUUGUCAGAAACAUGCCUUUGUCUGUACUUCGUAGCCUCCUUGUUCUGACCGUUGGUGUUACUGAUGACCUAGGAUUGUAAACACGAUUCCUGGGCAAUGUCUGCAUACUAACUAGAUCCCAAGGAAACGGAACCAUUUACUAGUCAGCUAGACCCUUGUACCAGUUAGCCGUUCUCCCUCCGUCCUUCCCUUUGCUCCUCGCAUCGUUCAUUAUCUAAUAAUCUAAUUACAAAUGAUAUUGGGAGACUUUGCAGCUGCUUGCUAGACAUUGCACGUCUUUGGAGAAACGUCUAUACAAAAUCUUGGCUCGUUUUUUAAAUUCGCUUUUGAUUGUCUUAUUAGCUGGAGUUUUUCAUAUAUUUCAGUCCUUAGUGGGCAUUGGGGAUGUAGCCAAUGUAGCAGCAGAGUGCUUGCUUUGUAUGCAUAAGACCUAGGAUCCACGAAAGAAAAACUUAAUCACCACCGGGAAGGGGAACUUUAUUUGAUAUAUAUUUUACGAAUAGUGUCCACACAUGCUGUAGGAGUAAUCUGUCUUUUUAUUUUCUUGAUAAUACUGUUUAGCGAAGAAGGUUUUUUGGGGGUUUUUUUGGUUUUUUUUUUCCGGAGCUGGGGACCAAACCCAGGGCCUUGCGCUUGCUAGGCAAGCGCUCUACCAGAAGGUUUUUUUUUUUAAGGUUUAUUUCUGCUUCAUGUAUUUUGAGUAUUUUGCCUGCAGUACCUGCAUACAGUACACAGGGAGACCAGAAGAGAGCAUCCGAUUCCCCGAAACUGGAGUGGCAUGUGUGCUUGCGAGCCACUCCCUGAGAGACACAGGUCCUCUUCAAGAGCAACAAGUACUCCUGACUCCUAAGCCAUCUCUCCAGGCCCUGCUUUAGAUAAUAUAGUGCACAUAGUUCCUUUAUCAUAGAAUUUAAGCGACAUUAUUUUAUUUCACAUAGAAUAUAGAACUGAAAGCAAUAGUUUCUCUUUUCCUUGCCUAGUAUUGUUGCUGUCAAACAAACUUCUUGAAUUUGCCAUCGAUCGACGUGUAGACCAGACCGGCCGCAAGCUCAGAGAAAUCAGCCCGCUUCUGUUCCACAGGUCCAGCACACACCACCAUCCCACCUUAACUUUUAUUUUCUGUCUGUCCCAGCACCACAGAUAGCUUCUCCCAUACAGUGUUGGCUCCUAAUCAGCCACCACAGAGAAGAAUUCCAUACACAAACACGUAUCCGUUAUCCUAAUCUUUCAACAUCUGUCCGACUCAAUAAUUCUCCACAAAUCCGUUCCUACCACAGCACAUUUAAACAUCAUGAAUAUCAUACAUACUGUAAACACAAUCACUCACACGUGACUCCAGAAAUGUUUGCCUAACCCAUCACAUCACGUUUUCCAGAUACACUCACAGACACACCAAAAGACAAAGAGAGUUAAGUAUUAUUCUCAAGUCGAGAAAUUUUUCCUGAAGAAAAAUGCUAUGUGCUUGAAUGAAGUAUAGAGUCAGGUGAAGACGAUACGGAGGACUUGGCUGGGUGGCAGAGUGAUUGCCUGGCACGCUUGAUGACCUGGGUUCCAUCCUGCAUAAAGAUCUAUGGAGGGACUAGAGAAAAAGCUCAGCAAUUAAGAGCACUCUGGGAACCUCCUCUGGCCUUUCCUGGUAAUCAGGCAUACUCAUGCUAUCUACACAUACAUAGAUGCAGGCAAAAGUAAAAAUAAAUAUAUUUUCAGUUUAUUUUAUGUGUAUGGGUGUUCUGCGCACACGCGUGAGUGCGUGCGUGCGGGUGUGCGUGUGUGUGUAUCUACAUAUAUGUGGCUUGGAGGUGAGAAGAGACUUUGGGACAGAGACUUGUCAGUCCAGCUGAACUCCACGGUAUUAUGGUCCCUUCUGUCUGGACUACAUUUCCCAAUGGCACCAGCGAGAGCUGGGCCGUCGCCCCUUUGUGUCCUCCGAGAACCCUGGCAACAGAGGAGCUUCUUUCCCGCCCCCACCCCUUCCUACCCCGAGGCUAGAUUCCAAUUUAAGGGCAGCGGGUGUGGCAGCCUGAGUGGAGGAGAUUCCAGAGGCUUCAGGGAAGAGGCGAGAUCUUUCUGCAGUUCCUUCUGCCUGUAGGGAGUGGUCAGCGUGUCUCCGAGACUCUGGUCUUUAGGUCCUCUGGGCGUCCCUGGGAGUAAGAGAGUAGUUGGUACAGUUUGAGACUGUCACCAGAUGUGAACUAUGCCUGGUCCCUUUCUCUUUCCCACUUGUUUACGGUCGUGGAGCCUCUUUGUGACCAAGAUGUGAGACCGUUGUUAGGGAUGCCAGCCUAUGGCACCAGAGCGUCUGAGACUUGGAGGUAUAGGAGAGGGCUAAACAUCUGAUACCGUGUACACCCACGGCCUUUAACUGUGGCACGUGUGCGACAGUGGCUGGCAAUAUGUUUGAGACUGUGAGGGUCCUGAAACUUGUCACCCAGUAUCUUUUCAGGCUAAGUGGUGACAGUAUGCUACGAGUUUCUGAAUCACUCUUCUGAUGGAGAGGAUGAUUAACGCUUAUUUAAUCUUAGUGACUUAUUUAUUCAAGGUGUAUCUUUAUCUAAACACCACGCAUCUCUUUAUCUGUAAGCUGUGUAAAUUUGCUGCCCAAGUAAUAAAUUGGAAAUGAACUUAGGCAUGGAUUAUAUCGUGUGCAAACAAAUCGCUACGUCUCCGUCUUGCUCUGUCUACUGAAGGGAAGGUUGGGGCCGGAGGAAGAAACAUAGAAUGGAGAUGGUGACCUUCAGAGAUGUGGCAAUAGACUUCUCCCAAGAGGAACGGGAUUGCCUGAAUCCUUCUCAAAGGCAUUUGUACAGUCAUGUGAUGUUGGAGAGCUAUAGAAUCUUGGUGUCUCUGGGCCUUUGCUUUUCUUUUUUUUUUUUUUUUUUAUUAACUUGAGUAUUUCUUAUAUACAUUUCGAGUGUUAUUCCCUUUCCCGGUUUCCGGGCAAACAUCCCCCUCCCGGCCUUUGCUUUUCUAAGCCAAGUGUAAUAUUCCUGUUGGAACAAGAGAAAGAGCCAUGGAGAGUGCGGACAGAGCUGACGGGCAGUUUGUCCACGGGCUGGGAGCCUGUGUAUGAGACUGAAGAGUUAAUCCCAAAGCAGGAACUCUAUGAAGAAGAGUCAUCCAGAAAGAUAAUAGAAGAACUUAGAAGUCUUGGCCUGGAGUAUCCCAGUUUGGUGGGAGAAUGGAGCCAGGGUCAUCAUUUCAAGAGGCAAUACGGGAAUUUAAAGGUUUGUCUCGGGGCUGGAGAGAUGGCUCAGCGGUUAAGAGCACCGACUGCUCUUCCAGAGGUCAUGAGUUCAAUUCCCAGCAACCACAUGGUGGCUCACAACCAUCCGUAAUGGGAUCUGAUGCCCUCUUCUGGUGUAUCUGAAGACAGCUACAGUGUACUUGUAUAUGAUAAAUAAAUAAAUCUUUUUAAAAAAAUAAAAAAAAAAUAAAGGUUUGUCUCGAGGAAGAGACCAUUGCUGUUGAAGCGUUCAUUAAUAAGAGAUCUUGGGGAAGUUUCCACCAGAACACAUUGCUUCAUACACGACCGACAAGCCCAGCAGAGAACACGGCACAUGAAGGCACAUUCCAGAAAAGCUUGAAAAACGGCUCGAAGUUUCUCAAGCCCAAGAGCAUCUGCACAGAGAAGAAACAGCUUAAAUGCAACGGUUGUGAGAAGGUUUUUAGCCAGAGCUCAUCCCUUGCUCUCCAUCAGAGAAUCCACACUGGAGAGAAGCCCUAUCGUGUAUAGAAUGUGGGAAAGCCUUCAGCCAGAGAUCCAACCUUGUCCAGCACCACAGGAUUCACACGGGAGAGAAACCCUACGAGUGUCAGGAUGUGGGAAGGCCUUCAGCCAGAACGCACAUCUAGUUCAGCACCUGCGAGUUCACACUGGAGAAAAGCCUUAUGGGUGUAAGGUGUGCAGGAAGGCCUUCAGCCAGUUCGCCUACCUGGCUCAGCAUCAGAGAGUUCACACCGGGGAGAAGCCCUAGAGUGUGUGGAGUAUGGGAAGGCCUUUAGCAAUAGGUCAUCCAUUACUCAACACCAGAAGGUUCAAAGCGGAGAGAGACCUUAUGAGUGCAGGGUCUGUGGGAAAGCAUUUAGCCUUCGUGCAUACCUUACUGUGCAUCAGAGAAUCCAUACAGAGGAGAGAUCCUAUGAAUGUAAGGAAUGCGGGAAGACCUUCAGCCAAAAUUCCCACCUUGCUCAACAUCAGAGAAUUCAUACUGGAGAGAAACCGUAUAAGUGCCAGGAAUGUAGGAAGGCCUUCAGCCAGAUUGCCUACCUCACUCAGCACCAGAGGGUUCACGCUGGGGAGAAGCCCUAUGAAUGCAAUGUUUGUGGGAAGGCCUUCAGUUACUGUGGAUCCCUUGUCCAACAUCAGAGAAUUCACACAGGAGAGAGACCCUACGAAUGUAAAGAAUGCAAGAAAACCUUCAGGCAACAUGCACAUCUCGCUCAUCACCAGAGAAUUCACAUCGGGGAACUCUUACCACCCAAUCCAGGCAAUCACCAAGUCCUGUAAACUCAUCUCCUAGAUAUUUCUGGAAUUUAUGUUCCUUUCUCCAUCUUUAAUGUUAAUUAUUACUGUACAGUUUUCAUGGCUUUUCUAGUGUCCAUUAUUACUGUCUUCAAAUCUAUUUCCUAUAAUAGGCACAACAUUAUUUUACUUUGAAGUGGGAUCUUGUGUAGUAUAAGCUGGGCUCAGACUCACAUUUACAAAAUAGAAAACCCAGUGUUGGGCCAUAGAAAUGAAAAUACCAAAAUCCCACCAGCACUUAGCUCUCUGCUGGUAGAGAAUUAACAGUUGAAAAUACAGACGGAGCUGGAGAGAUAGCUCAGCAGUUAAGAGCACCGACUGCUCUUCCAGAGGUCCUGAGUUCAAUUCCCAGCAACCACAUGGUGGCUCACAACCAUCUGUAAUGAGGUCUGAUGCCCUCUUCUGGUGUGUCUGAGGACAGCUACAGUGUACUUAUAUAUAAUAAAUAUCUUUAAAAAAAAUACAGAGAGACACACCUUUAUACAGUUGGAGGAAGGUCACCCCAACAGAUGGAAGGGGGGGCAUUUAAAAAUAAGCAAACAUGGGGUUGGGGAUUUAGCUCAGUGGUAGAGCGCUUGCCUAGGAAGCGCAAGGCCCUGGGUUCGGUCCCCAGCUCCGAAAAAAAGAACCAAAAAAAAAAAACAAAAAACAAAAAACAAAAAAAGCAAACAUAGCCAGUGCUUCUCCGUCUAUCUAAACUGUUCAUAAUAAAGAAAAAACGGUAUCUCUGUGGUGUUUGCUUCCUUGCUCCAGCUGUGUCGUUGCUCUCCUCAUACCAUGUCCUUCAGAAAAGAGGCUCACACCAGCCUCCAGGGGCUACCACUGUUGACAGCUGCCUCCAGGGGCUACCACUGUUGACAGCUGUAAAUAAGCCAAGCCCGAGUAACAGCCGCCCCUACAUCUCACCCCUCGCUGCCCGCUCCCACCAGAUCCCCACAAAAAAGACGACUCUCUCGUAUUUGAGUGUUCCGAGAGUCUAUAUUCAAGGUUGGCUCAGCUCUGUAAUCCCUGCGCUUCAGAGGCUAAAGCAGAAGGAUUGCCACAAGUUUGAGAGUCGUCUGGGUGACCUAGCAGGCGAGCCAGGGCUGUAUAGCAAGCCUGGUCCUCCGCUUCAAGGAAAGAAAGAGAAGGAUGGGGUGUUCAUUAUCCUCGUCUCUGCUUCCCCUCGGGACACCAUCUAACCAGACAGGAGACCUGGACAACAACGGAGGAAAGAAGUAACACGAGGGCAGUCUUGGGAGCUGACCCUGGUGCACUCAGGCCAAGUUCACCAGCUUUGCACAAUGUCCAGGAUCGAUGUUGCAAUUGGGAGUGGGUGCUCGUGCCGGUCUCCAGCCUUAACUGUCCCUGGCUUUGUCACUCAUGAACUUGAUC